ensembl:lncRNA
CUGUACUUGUGUGUCCAACCUUCUUGAGCUGCCUUGGUGGAAAAAAAACAACUUCCAACUGUAUUUUUCUAUGGACCCUUGCUGUUUUCUGUUCCAAUAAAAAGCAUUGGCUAUGACAACAGUUUCAACAGGUUUGGCUAGCUGUAUGCAAAGUAAGUCAUGCCUUUUUCCCCUGUUUGCUAUUUCCCAGUCCUCUAACUGAAGUGUUGUAGGCAACAACACAGAAGGUUAAAGAAACAAUGUGGUUUAAG